rnacentral:misc_RNA from 1 species
AAGUCGUAACAAGGUUUCCGUAGGUGAACCUGCGGAAGGAUCAUUAACAAAUCAUUGAGCGCAAGCUCAUCAACCUUUGUGAAUAGGCUUGCGCAAGCAAGUUAGAUGGGACGAGGGAGGCGGUGGUUAGUAGGUGGUGGUGGUGAGUGUUUAGGCUGAAGCAAUUCAAACCUGAGCAAGCAUUAGCUAGCAGCGCAACAGCCAGCCCCGCUACAUUAAUAUUGUCUGAUUACAUUUGGAGGUCGAAAGAUUUCUAAUAAUAAUACAACUUUUAACAAUGGAUCUCUUGGCUCUU